GAUGAACGCUGGCGGCGUGCCUAAUACAUGCAGGUCGAGCGAACGGACGAGAAGCGUGCUUCUCUGAUGUUAGCGGCGGACGGGUGAGUAACACGUGGAUAACCUACCUAUAAGACUGGGAUAACUUCGGGAAACCGGAGCUAAUACCGGAUAAUAUUUUGAACCGCAUGGUUCAAAAGUGAAAGACGGUCUUGCUGUCACUUAUAGAUGGAUCCGCGCUGCAUUAGCUAGUUGGUAAGGUAACGGCUUACCAAGGCAACGAUGCAUAGCCGACCUGAGAGGGUGAUCGGCCACACUGGAACUGAGACACGGUCCAGACUCCUACGGGAGGCAGCAGUAGGGAAUCUUCCGCAAUGGGCGAAAGCCUGACGGAGCAACGCCGCGUGAGUGAUGAAGGUCUUCGGAUCGUAAAACUCUGUUAUUAGGGAAGAACAUAUGUGUAAGUAACUGUGCACAUCUUGACGGUACCUAAUCAGAAAGCCACGGCUAACUACGUG
rnacentral:rRNA from 1 species